GUUCGGUGCUCGUCGCGUUCGCGUCGCUUGUCGUCGCGCCGAAACUCCGUCCGCAGGUGCAACGCAUGUGCGUUCGACACGUCUCGUCGGCGUUUCAUUUAAUACGUGAGAUACGCGCAUACGUGCACGUUUCAUAAUUAAUUACGGAGUUCGCGUUGUGCGGGUAAUUUAUUGUACGUUGAAGGUUUUUUAUUUUUUUUUUUUCUUUUUUCUCAUCGGUUUUCUUGUAUCAACGAUUCUUCGUUCGUUUUUUUCUUUUUUUUUUUUGGAUCGAUUGGAGAAAAAAUCAAAUUUUCACGAUCCACGCGAUAUUUGGUUCUCAGUUUUGUUGAUAUAGGAUUAUAUGCGUUUCUACCAUUGGUUUAUAUCAUCGCCUGACCGACAUCCCCGGAAUGACGUUACGCCUCGAUGAGAUUGAUGAAACCGUUGGAGCAACGACGAUGGCUAAUGUGAUUAUGCUCGAGGCUUCGAUAUGCAUCUUGGGUUAUUCACGGUCAGGAGACGCUGCAGGAACGAAAUACGAACAUCCUGCGAAAGUCAACGAGCCGUUGACUCGUUGAAGGAAAAGGAGCGUGUCGAGGGAAGAACCUGGUGGGAAGUAAUGGAGUCGCUCGGUAUGACAAUGCGAGGGGCUGCCUGAAGGAUAGCUGUGCCAACGAAGAUCUAUAAUUAAAGAAACAUGCGCUGGUACGAAUAAAGGCUUGGAGAAAUAGCGGUGCCGAUAACGUGACUGAAGCAAGUUUCGUCAUUGAUUUGUGGAAUAAGAUGUGCGCGUACACUGGAAAAUAAACUAAUCAAGUUAUUAUCUUAUCAAGCGCUCCUAUGUUAAUCUGUCGCUGUGUCUAAGUAUUUAAAAUACACACCCACUUCACUGGCAUAAAAAAACGAGCAAAAUGUUUGGAACAAAGUUCCGUUCGUGGAUGGAAGCUCACAUAGUGCGACCGAGGAAGAAGAAGGAUCGGAAGAAAGGGGAAAAGGGUUUCGACUCGAACUGCAAUUCUCCAAGCAGCCAUAGCGGCAACAGAUCCCCAGCUCUACAUCAGGUUCAUCCGGCGGAAGCGCCGUCGAAGAACCUCGACACGAUUCACCUGCAAGCCUCGGCGUACACGACGGUCACGACGUCGUCUGGGACGUCGGCUGGAACUGGGAGCGUCCAUCUAUCGUCGCCUGAGAGCGCCUAUAGCACGGGUUACUCGACAGACGGGACUUCACCCGGGGCUAGUUACCCCCCGGAAUAUUACAUCAACAUCAGGACGGGGACCCAUUAUUUCCAGAGUAGCAAGGGCGGCAACAAAAAGCUCGGCGAGGAAACCCCUGUACCCCCGACCGACGGGGGAAACGACCAGAAAUUGAUCCGACUCACCAACGGAAUGGAGUCCAAUACCAGGGUCAACCCCAAGGAGUUUAGGGAUGCCAGGACCAGCACCCCGAACAAGAUCUCCGAACACAACGUUUCGCAAACGAUUCACGCGACGGUUCAGCGACAACAUCAGCCUGUCCAGCAGAAGCCCCAAGCUCACAGAAGGACGGAGUCCUGCUCCGUGGACGCAUUGCGGAUUUCGAAUUUCCUCCCGGUUCCGACUUCCAUGCCCCCGCCGCUGGUCCCCUCGCCGCCGCUCCAGUCUCCCAGACAGCGUUCCCGCAUCCGGACGAACCCGUGGCUCUCGGCCAAUUCCUCAGGCUCGAGUACGACGGGGGUUAAAUCCCGACUCACCGUUGGCGAAUCGAGCAGCAGCUCGGGUCUGAAGCUGACGGAAUCUUCGGGCAGCGCAAGCGACGUGAACGUGAACAUAAACGUUGUGAGAAAUUCCGAAUUUCGUCCUGGGAGCCUCAGCGCCGGUCGAAGUCCGAUCAACCAAAACUGGAGGAUUUCACCGCGGAUGGAGAUCCGUUCGAAGGUUCCCAUCCCGGUGGCACGCUGCAGCAGCAGCUCGUCGGGAUCCUCGUUGACGCGAAGCGUGCGUUCGUCGGAGGACGACAUAACGCUGAACGAGAUGAUGGGUAAAUACGACGAGAGUUACGUGUACGAGAAGGAGACGGACAUCCUGUCGGACAGCGAUCCGACGGACUGCGAGGACUACGUAGAUUCGUUGUCGGACAUCGACACGGGUCAGGACGGCGGCGACGAGAACGAGCCCUUCGAGAACGACGACUUCGACUUCAUCGACAACGGGUCGAUCCUCGAACUCGACAAGCUGGACUCGCACGCGGGCUUCCGGAACACGGGACACUGCACGUACUUCACCUUCAGCAGCGAGCUCAGCCGGAAGGGAACGCGGCUGCGGGAGUCGUUCCUGAGGCGAAGGACGAAGGAUGAGAGCAGCUCGCACAGAUCGAGCGUGAGGAGCGGAUCGAGGCGGCAAAGCACGCGGGGAAGAAAGACGGACGACAAGUCGGCGGAGAAGCGGAAGAAGCGGGUGUCGCAGCGUCGCAGGCAGAGCUUCGCCGAGAAGUGCGACGACGAGACGGCGAAUCUUAACCGCGUGCUGGUCGAGCGGAUGCUGCUGAAAAACUCUGGUUUCAAUCAGGGCAGCCGCAGCGUCGGUGGGACGCCGAUUUGCCUCCGGCGACGGAAGUGCGACGUGAACAAGAACCUCUCGCCCGUCAAGCUGAUACAGGACAGCGCCCUGGUGCGCUCGGUCAUCGCCGAGAACGAAGUCGCCAAGCGGCGGUCGAACUCCGUCAGCUACGUGAACGGAAACGCGGUGCGGAGCCGGCUCAUCGACGGCGCCUACAUGGCCACAUUCGCCUCGGAGAUCGCCCUGAUGGAGGCGGACAAGGAGGCGGACCGGAAGUACAAGGAGCUUAUACUCGAGGCGGAGAACAUACUGGUGAACAUGAAGAACAACUCAUCGCCGGUGGUCAUGCCGUCGCCGAGGAAGAUCCACAAUGGACUGGCCAACAAACGCGUAGAACUUAUCAAGAACACGGAGCUGAACAUCGAGCUGGCGCUCUCCAAGAGCAGGAACUCCCAGCCCGAGCUCCAGAGCGGCAGCAUCAGGGACUUGGAGCACACGAGCCCGAAGAGACAGUUCGCUCAGCCUUGUUCCCCGAUACGCAAGUUCAUGGAGCGAAAUUCACCCGGCGGUAUCAUCGUGAAGGAGAAUUUUUACAAGCAGGACGUGCAGGUCAAGUGUCCGAGUUCACCGAUGAUGGUCAGGAAAACUCCGCAGAAUUCACCUAGCAGGAGCUUCGUCCAGGCGAACAGGCUUCAGAUCACCGAACGGGAUGUUAGUCACGACGUCAAGAGUCGAGAUCUUCGGACGUUUGUCCACAACGGUGUCAACUCACCGAGACAGCUCAAGGACAAACCCAUCGCAUCUCCCUACCUAAAUGCGCAUCGGGAUUCACUGAUUCAGAAGGAAAAAUUACUCCUUGCCAAGAAGGAAGUCAGGUCUUCGAGGACCCUCAAAGACGAGGGACUGACAUCAAGCUCGUCGGAUUCCGACGAUAGGUGCGAUGUCAGGAAGAAACCACCGUUACUUACCUUCAGAUCGAUUGAUAUCGGACCGACGCGGGAGGGUUCUUCAUACUGUCCCCAAAGCGAACCAGUUAAGCGAAAAGUAUACGCGGGUAGCGUGACUUACGGGCGGAUACAAAAGUCGCUGGGGGAGCACAAUGUCGCUUUUAGAAACUCCGACGGCGACACGGCCACCGACGAUACGGAUGACUCGAAACGAUCGUUGAAAGAGAAGGUGGCCCAACUCCGACAGGAGCGAAUAGCAGCGGAGGCAAAUAUUAACGCCCAAGACACGCAGCUGUACCAGCAUCAGUUGUCUCAGCUGAGGAGACAAAAGCUGGUACAAACCAUCGAGGGUCUAAAACGAAGUUUGGAAGACCAGUCGGCAACACUGAAGCAAACUUGCCUCGAAGCUGUUCUCGACAAUGACGUGAAUUAGACGAUAUUUCUCUGCGUAAAGCGUAACCAGAGGAAAAAGAAUCUCGCUGCUUAGCAGCUGCACGAUUUUUUCGAAAUGUCAUUUAAUCGUACAACCCGAGGUGGUUAUCGGUGGUUGUUCGAGGUGGUUGGCGAUUGUUG
rnacentral:misc_RNA from 1 species